rnacentral:rRNA from 1 species
CCCUUAGAUGUCCUGGGCUGCACGCGCGCUACACUGAUGCAUUCAACGAGUCUAAAACCUGCUCUGAUAGGGGUGGGUAAUCUUUUGAAUGUGCAUCGUGAUUGGGAUAGAUGAUUGCAAUUUUUCAUCUUCAACGAGGAAUGCCUAGUAAACGCAAGUCAUCAGCUUGCAUUGAUUACGUCCCUGCCCUUUGUACACACCGCCCGUCGCUCCUACCGAUUGAAUGAUCCGAUGAAUAUCAUGGAUUGAGGAUGCAAGCAGGUUCGCCUGUCUUCAUCUUCGAGAAGUGAAGUAAAUCUUAUCAUUUAGAGGAAGGAGAAGUCGUAACA